ACGUAGGGGGCGAGCGUUAUUCGGAAUUACUGGGCGUAAAGGGUAUGCAGGCGGCCCUUCAAGUCGCGUGUGAAAGUCCAGGGCUCAACGCUGGGUGUGCGCGCGAUACUGACGAGCUUGAGGAUUGGAGAGGUGAGUGGAAUUCCGGGUGUAGUGGUAAAAUGCGUAGAGAUGGGGAGGAACACCGGCGGCGCAGGCAGCUCACUGGGCUGUUUCUGACGCUAAUGUACGAAAGCGUGGGGAGCAAACAG
rnacentral:rRNA from 1 species